rnacentral:rRNA from 1 species
CCUACGGGCGGCAGCAGUGGGGAAUAUUGCGCAAUGGGCGAAAGCCUGACGCAGCGACGCCGCGUGAGGGAUGAAGGUCUUCGGAUCGUAAACCUCUUUCAGCAGGGAAGAACGGUCACUGUGCUAAUCAGCAGUGAAUUGACGGUACCUGCAAAGGAAGCACCGUCUAACUCCGUGCCAGCCGCCGCGGUAUAGCGGGGGAUGGGUGCCUUAUCCGGAUUUAUUGGGUUUAAAGGGUGCGCAGUCGGCGGGUAAAGUCAGCGGUAAAAUGUCGGGGCUCAACCCCGGCCGGCCGUUGAAACUGGCGUGCUCGAGUUGGAGAGAAGUAUGCGGAAUUCGUGGUGUAGCGGUGAAAUGCAUAGAUAUCACGAAGAACCCCGAUUGCGAAGGCAGCAUACCGGCUCCACACUGACGCUGAGGCACGAAAGCGUGGGUAUCGAACAGGAUUAGAUACCCUUGUAGUC